AUGUCGUGGCAGCCCAUCGCCCUCAUUCCUCCUCUGGCUCCUACUUCUUUCGUGGCGCCUUUCAGGGUAUGUCUCAAAUGUGGGGCAGACAGGACAGCUGAAGCAAUGACUGUUCAAAGACUUUAUCACAGUGGAAUCAACAAAAUUUGUUACACGGAAUGGAAAAGAAAACCCCACGUCAAAGACUUCCCUUCUGAGAUGAACAUGUUUUCGCUAAUCCGAUCUGGAUUCAUAAGAGAACGAUACCGAAUCCUUUCCCCCAAGCUUGUAAAAUGUAUAACCAAAGAGACCCAAAUCGAGCCACACACUAAAAUGUGCAGCGAGGGAGGGCAACACAAAUCACCAGCGAGAUUCACCUGCUAUUCCUUGCAACAGAGACCCAGCUUCAACACUGGGCUCUUCCCGACACCAGCCCCGAUGGCAGGAGCCUGGAUUUUCACGCUGGUGUUCAGCCUUAACAUCCAYGCUCCCGUCUCCAGUGAAGGCAGGGAAAGGUGGCUGGAUUUGCACAUCCUCCCCAGCACCAUCUUGAAGUACCUUGCUCCACGGCACAGAAGAGCGCAAGGGAAUGAGCCAGAGGAGCUUCAUGAGUCAGGUCACAAGAGCAAGCGGGUAAACCCAUCCGCAGGCCGAUCCUCUGCUAGAUCUGCCUCCUGCCCACAGAUGGAGAGACAAACUCUUCAAACACUGUUGCUUUGGCAUCAGGAAUUCAGCUCACCWGAUGAAUCGUGGCUCCAGAGCAGGGCACAGUCUCCCCCUUGGUCGUGCACUGUCUGCUACGGCUCUCYGACAAUGUUCAUCCAACGUUUCCAGCGUUAUCGUUGAAAAUCCGAAACACCCUGCUUGUAGGGCUGGUACGCGUGCAGGAGCUAACACAGAGAGUGUUACCUGCAACAAGCAGGGCUUUUGGAAGCGGAAGCGCUCAGUGAUCCAGUGCGGCACACUCGGAAAGGGCGAGCGCCAAACCGUGUGGCCUGGAGAGACAAAGCCACCAGGGAAAUCUCUGAGCGCUCCAGCAGCUUUGAGGUCUCACUGUGUGCCAACCAUCCUUUGUAGAAACCGCAUACAGAAAUAAAGGAGGUAUGUGAAAGCUGUCA
rnacentral:lncRNA from 1 species